rnacentral:rRNA from 1 species
UACGGAGGAUCCGAGCGUUAUCCGGAUUUAUUGGGUUUAAAGGGUGCGUAGGCGGCCUUGUAAGUCAGGGGUGAAAGACGGUAGCUCAACUAUCGCAGUGCCUUUGAUACUGCAGGGCUUGAAUAUACUAGAGGCAGGCGGAAUGUGACAAGUAGCGGUGAAAUGCAUAGAUAUGUCACAGAACACCAAUUGCGAAGGCAGCUUGCUAUGGUAUAAUUGACGCUGAGGCACGAAAGCGUGGGGAUCAAACAGG